GCCUUAAAACCCAAAGAAGAAGAAGAAGAAGAAGAAGGAGAAGAAGAACCGGAUGUGUUGCAUUGAGCCAAGAGAGACAAACAAAGUCAAGAGUGCACCAUACUCCUGAGCUGGACCAGAGAGGCCAAGUGUCCCAUAGCCUGCACCAGGGAAGGAUUUCAUCGACUGACCUGCACCAAAGAAAGACUGUUUCCUCUGAGCCACAUCAGUUGAUGCAUCACUCCUACGAAAUAUUCUCACAAACCAAGAGAUGAUGAUGGACCAGAUGAAAAUUAUUUUUAAAACAGUCCAAGGCUUGAAAUCUGUAACUGAAGAAGAGAGAGGUGUUGAACCAAAUCUGCUACCAUUAGCUGAUCGCCAGUCUGUUCCAAACAUGGAGGAGCGGCUCAGAAAUAGUGCUGACCUCAAAAACCAUCUGAGAACUGCACUGGCUCUUAAAGGAGGGGGAGACGUUAAAGAGUGUGUAAAGAGUGUCAUGGGUGCAACCUUAACACUCUCUCGCCAAAAAUGUCAACAUGCGAGGUAUAAAUGGGAAGAUUGGCUUCCGGCACCUGCAAAUAAAGGAUGUUGUAAUUGGCACCCAACUGCAGUUAAGAUGGCAGACACAGCGCCGCCAUACCUCAACUCUGUUCCGGAAUGCAAGGAGACCUUGACACCGGAAAGUUUUCUUCUUCGUGUGGCAGCAACAUGCGCUUGCAUCCAGAACCCGAAGAAGAAGUUCUUCUACUGGAAGCAAGACGUGACGGAGAAAGAACAUGCAUCAAUCAUUACUAAAGAUAACCAUUUGGAGCGAAACCGGUUGCUGUCUGGGUUUGGCUGUCCUCAUUUUAAGACUGCGAGUGAUGGGGUGAUUGAUAGGCGCUUAAGGAACCACACUGCAGAUACAGUACAUUUCCAGGGAUUGUGGAUACAGUUGAGAGAAGAGGGGUUAUGGCCGUGUUUUCCAGGGAUCAGAUAAAGGUAAUUAUUAAACAUAUUUCGCUGUUAAUAAUUACAUCCUCUUUCAUUGAUUUCAUGUUUGCCCUUUACUUUUUUCUUUCAGACAUUACACGAUGAUCUGAUUAAUGGAAACAUGCGUUCCAACAGAUUGUACCUCUGGCAGAAUCCAUCUACCUCUCUCAGGCUUAAACAGCACCUUAAACUAAAGGCGCUGAAUUUAAGUGACCAGAGGAUCUUUGAGCUUCUGAGGCAGCCAGGAGCAAGCUGCAAAAUAAAAAACGGACAAAUGUUGCUCUCAAACCAUGAUCAAUAUGGCAGACGCGUUCAUCGUAUCCUAGCAACGGGCCGAAGCGGCGUCUAUUUUUCAAGAGUACCCAACUGCAGUUAAGAUGGCGGACAACGGCGCCGCCAUAUCUCAACUCUAUCCCGGAAGUGACGUAAUCUCGACGCAGGAAAUUGUUCUUCGGCAAAAAUAGACGCCGCUUCGGCCCGUUGCUAGGAUGAACGCGUCCACCAUAUUAUUUUGCAGCUGACUGGCCUCCGGCGCCUGCUCCCCAGUCAGCCCUAGCUCUACAGCGUCCAAUACCGAUGCAACGGUCUACUCCGGCUCGGUUUCCAACGCCAAAGCAACGGUCUGUCCCUACUCCGCAGCCUCCGACGCCUGCUCCCCGGGCCUACCCGGCUCUCCCACGUUUGAUGCCGAUGCCACGUCUUGUCCCUGCUCGGCUUCCGAUGCCUGAUAAACGAGCUGCUCCCGUUCUACCUCCGCCGCCAGCGCAACGGUCCUGCCCAGCGCUUAACUGUCCGAGGUCAGCUCCAAGGUCCAUGUAGCUUCUGUCGGUUCCUGUUUCCAAGGAGGUCGAUGGUCUCGACGCUCCUCUCCAGCCAGUGGCUUCAGUCUCCAAGGGGGUCUCAGAGCAGGACGCUCCUCUCCAGCCUCUGGAUCCUUCCUGUUCUCUUCUGUCUGCGCCCGCCAGAGACUCAGCUCCUGUCUGUGCGACCUCCCGGUCGCCCGCCAGAAUUAUUAUUAACAUGUCUCUGUCUUCCAGAGUUCCAGUCAGCGCGCCUUCCUGUGCUCCAACUCCAGUCAGUGCGCCUCCUUGAGCUCCAGCCAGCAUACCUCCCUGAGCUCCAGCAGAUCUACGCAGCACUCCUCUCAGAGACUCUAGACCAAACACAGCGACCGCCUGGUCGUCCACAGAACAUUAUAUUACCAUCUCUUUGUUCUCCAGAGUUCUAGUCAGUGCUGCAAUCAGCGUGCAUCCCUGAGUCCCAGCUCCACUCUGCGCGCUUGCCAGUGGUCCAGCUCCACUCUGGCUGUCCGCCUGAGCUCCAGCUCCAGCCCGUGCAUCCCUCAGGCCGUCCGCCUGAGCUCCAGCUCCAGCCCGUGCAUCCCUCCAGCCGUCCGCCUGAGCUCCAGCCUGCUCGCCUCCCAGCUCAGCCGCCGGAGAUCCAGCCUGCUCAGCCGCCGAUCCAGCUACUGUCAGCGCAGCCCUCUGGCCGUCCGAAGGAAAAAACACGAAUCUGAAAUUUGAAAAGCUGCACGAGAAGGCUAACCAGGAGUACCUGAACCCGGUAGCCUUUCUGCCCCCCUUCUACGGAAAGAUAAACUUCAGCUAGGCUAAGCAGCAUGGGGAAGGAACGUGAGCCACAGACACACUCUCAGUUACACACACUCACACACAUGCAAACAGACCUACACACACAGUCACACAAAAUCUUGAAAAGCUAAAUUUGAGAGGCUUAAAUUCGUUU